GAUGAACGCUAGCGAUAGGCUUAACACAUGCAAGUCGAGGGGCAGCAUGAACAAAGCUUGCUUUGUUUGAUGGCGACCGGCGCACGGGUGCGUAACACGUAUGCAACUUACCCAUAAAUCGGGGAUAACCCGGAGAAAUUCGGACUAAUACCCGAUGGUAUUAAGAGAAGGCAUCUUCCUUUAAUUAAAGAUUUAUCGAUUAUGGAUAGGCAUGCGCAUGAUUAGCUAGUUGGUGAGGUAAUGGCUCACCAAGGCGACGAUCAUUAGGGGUUCUGAGAGGAAGGUCCCCCACACUGGGUACUGAGACACGGACCAGACUCCUACGGGAGGCCAGCAGUGAGGAAUAUUGGUCAAUGGACGAGAGUCUGAACCAGCCAAAGUCGCGUGAAGGAAGACUGCCCUAAGGG
rnacentral:rRNA from 1 species